CCUGCAGCGACUAUACUCACCUAUCCCUCAUCACCCCAUCCACCAAUGACACUUAGAAAAAAGCCUCAUCUGCUGGGCUUAAUGGUCAGACUUCCUCUGCCUGCAAUGCCGCAGAGACCACACGAACCUGGGCGCACUAUCUAGGCAGCGGACUAUGGACUAAUCUCUGUUGUUUUAAUCAAUACAUGGCCUCUACAUUAAAAGUUAUCCUUUCAG
rnacentral:lncRNA from 1 species